rnacentral:rRNA from 1 species
GACAGAGGGGGCUAGCGUUAAUCGGAAUUACUGGGCGUAAAGGGUGCGUAGGCGGUUCGUUAAGUCUGUCGUGAAAUCCCCGGGCUCAACCUGGGAACUGCAUCCGAGACUGCAUUGCUAGAGUAUGGGAGAGGGAAGCGGAAUUUCUGGUGUAGCAGUGAAAUGCGUAGAUAUCAGAAGGAACAUCAGUGGCGAAGGCGGCUUCCUGGACCAAUACUGACGAUCAGGUGCGAAAGCGUGGGGAGCAAACAGG